rnacentral:rRNA from 1 species
CUCGCGAAUGCACUAGCAGUUAAUUUGAUCAUGGCUCAGGACCCAACGCGUGGUNGCGUGCCUAAUACAUGCAAGUCGAGCGGAGUUAUUCCUUCGGGGAUAACUUAGCGGCGGACGGGUGAGUAACACGUAGGCAACCUGCCUGUAAGAUCGGGAUAACUACCGGAAACGGUAGCUAAGACCGGAUAAUCAACUUGGUCGCAUGAUCGAGUUGGGAAAAGCGGAGCAAUCUGCUGCUUACAGAUGGGCCUGCGGCGCAUUAGCUAGUUGGUGGGGUAACGGCUCACCAAGGCGACGAUGCGUAGCCGACCUGAGAGGGUGAACGGCCACACUUGGGAACUGAGACACAGGACCAAACUCCUA